CAUUUGGACUUUACCACCACUAGAAUCUAAUUCUACAAAUAGUUUAAUACUAAUAACAUUAGUGUAGCCUAAUCUUUACCGGCAGCUGUGCAGAAAUACAGGGUUUAUAUAGAAUGAACAGACAUGCAAAAAAAAAAAAAAAGCUGCGCAGCAUUUGAAUGUUGAUUUAGAAUUUGAAUGUCAAUGUAAUGAAUGAAGCUUCGAAGCUAUAAACCAAGUUUUUGCGGAAAAAAUUGGAAGGCAAAUACAGUAACAAGCAAUAAGGGCAAUGUCUCGUAAAAAAGAAAAGAAAGAAUGUGUCCUGCAUUGGAAACCGGAAGGAAUCAAUUUAUUUCAGAGUGUACGUGAUUUUCUACUUAACACAGUGAAAACAUGCAAAAACACA